UUGGGAAUCUUGGACAAUGGGGGAAACCCUGAUCCAGCCAUGCCGCGUGAGUGAUGAAGGCCUUCGGGUUGUAAAACUCUUUCGACGGGGACGAUAAUGACGGUACCCGUAGAAGAAGCUCCGGCUAACUUCGUGCCAGCCGCCGCGGUAAUACGAAGGGGGCUAGCGUUGUUCGGAAUUACUGGGCGUAAAGCGCGCGCAGCCGGCUAUCCAAGUCAGUGGUGAAAGCCCGGAGCUCAACUCCGGAACUGCCAUUGAAACUGUUUAGCUUGAGGACGAGAGAGGUGAGUGGAAUUCCCAGUGUAGAGGUGAAAUUCGUAGAUAUUGGGAAGAACACCAGUGGCGAAGGCGGCUCACUGGCUCGUAUCUGACGCUCAGGCGCGAUAGCGUGGGGAUCAAACA
rnacentral:rRNA from 1 species